UAAGUCUCAUGCUUCAUUCUAAAGACACCACACAUAUAUAGUCACACAUAUAUAGUCAGUAAAAGAGAAAGAGAUGGUGAAAGCGAACAGGCACUCUGCAGAGAAGGAAGGGAGAGCGACGAAGAGACUGAGUGAAAAGGGGAGUCGGUCAAGAGUUUUCCGUCGAACCCCUAGGUUUCCGACGAUAGUGGUGACGCAGAAUCAGGCGACAACGGCGAUAAGGUACGAGAGGCUGCGAGGGUGAUAGUGUUGAUUCGAGUACGCUGAUCGGUGAUUAUGGCUCAAGAGGUGGCGUGCAGAUUCAGAUUCCGACUAAGGCUCUGGUUCCGACAAAGAUCCAGGAAAAACUGGUAUUUACGAGUCGAUAUGUUGGUUCAAAAUCGGAGUUUACCCUUCUAAAACAUCAACAACUAAAUUAAACACUUUGAAAGAUUAUAUGCAGUAAAACACGAUGCUUGAAGGUGCUUCCAAAGAAAUCUGAAUGUCAACAAGAAGAAUGUAGGAGUAGCCUGGCACGAAAGGAAGAGGCUGCUGGUCCCUGCAACUGAGAAACAGGGAGUUUGUUUGUUUUCUGUACAUAAAUAAACAAUAUUUCAAAAACCCUAAAAAAUUGAAAAAUUUAAAAAAACCAAAAAUAUGUUUUUAUUUUGUCAAAAUUUUGAGAAACUAAAAAUAUGUUUGUUUUUAAAUUUGCAAAAAUUCGAAAAAAAUUACAAAAAUUUGUUACUUGAAUAUGCCGAAACCCUCACGGCGGAACAAACAUGAUUAAUUUCACAAGAUUGAAAAACAGUUUUCAAACUGUAAAAAAUCAACGUGUUGUAAAUUAUGGGGGUACAUUAUAUUUUCUGCAAAAUCAAUGCACGAAAAACAGAAAAAAUGGAUAGCAAGACAAAGCUAUCAGUGUCGGUUUGUCAAAUUUUUUUUAAAUGUUUUGGAUUUUAGGGGGAGUAAAAAUUUCAGAAAAUACAAAAACAUUUGAAAAUUUGAAAAAGCUCAAAACUCAUUUUGAAUUGAAAAAUAUUGAAAAACGACAAAAACAUGAGAAAAUGAAAAAGAGUUUUUGUGUAAAAAGAGGAAAUGAUAGUACAUCAGUAGACAAUCACAGUACGCUAAAGAAAUGGAAUGUUUUAAUGUGAUAAACGGUCUCACUAAUGAUAUGCCAGUAGGUUUUUACACGCUUAGUAGAUUGUUUUCGAGAUAUAAACCUAAAUAUCAAUACUUUACUUAUCUCGUGGGGAACAUCUCUCGGAUAUAUGGGUAACCCCCGAAAUCUUGUUUGAGAGAUUGUCUGAUUCUGAGAUACUAGGUCUUUAUACUGUUUGAUAUCUGGGGUAUUAUACCUGGUCUUCUGAUUUUGCGAAAGCAAUGGCAUAGACCUCGUAUAAUACUUUACGCGCUUUUAAAGCUUACACUCUGCACAAAAAUUGAAAAAUAUCGAAAGAUAUGAAUCAAUUGCAGUUGAAGAAAGAUUCCCUAAAGGGAACACACCUAAAGUCGAGCCUUCAUCUCUUUGACUGAACGGAAGUUCAUACCUGAGCUCUCAAGGUUUCGCACUAACCCAGAGAACAGAUAUCAGAUUGGUAUACUCACCUGUAAGACUGAAUCUAGGGAAUUUUGAUACGGGAGUAUAUUCCGAGGUGGGACACGCGAAUAAGUGAAGUUCUUAAAACACUAAUCUCGUAUCUCGAAUCAAUUGAAGUUUGUGUGAAAAUUUAAGUGGAUCAGUAUACUGACAAUCUAAGUGAAUCGUUUAGAACUUAAAGUGUUUAAAGCUCAACGGUGCUAACGGUGCUAGUGAUUUGUCAUAAACUGAUAUGAUCCUCUGACGCAAACUCAAACAAAAAUAUUGUCUGUAAAUAUGUUUGUAAAUAAUUAUUUAUUGCUUUAUGUUUUCAGAAAAAUACAAAAAGAUUUUGAUUUCUGCUUUAUUUUCGACAACCAAUGUCUAAGUGCUAAGUUUCAAAAUCUAGUAUGCUGAUCAUGUUUCUGAAAAUAAAUCAAGUUCAUUAAUUUGAAACUUGUAGUUUUAAAAUCAAAAAUAAAAAACAGUUUGUGAUAUCUCCAAGGUCAUUAAGUUGGACUUGGAUGAUUAACUAUGAGGGAUUUGGAUGCUCAUAUUGUUAAAAUCUGUAAAAGAGCCAGUUUCCGAUCCUGUUGGCUAAAACUGCCAAAUCAAUAAAGAUUGUUGAUUAAGGGAGAGAAUCAAGUAAUCCUGGAAAUAUUCAUAUUAUUAUAUUUUAGAGUCAGGAUCUUGAUUUAGAAAGUUUAAUAGAGCCAGGUUACGAUUCUUGGAAAACCGAAAUUGCUUUCAUUGUCAAAAUAUUUUAGAUUAUGCUGAGAGAGCCAGGGUUUUCAAUCGUGGAUGAUCAAAAUGUUUUACUUAUAAAUAUUUGAGAUUUGCAGAUGUUGUACCAGACUACGAUCCCGACAGCCGAGUCUAAGGGGGAGUCUGAAGAUGAGCUCAACACAAGAGGAAGGGUGGAUUCAAGGAGCCAUGUAACUAUCCCAUAAGAGCUUGUACACGGAAAGCAAGGUGUCGAUCACAAAAGCACAGAAGCUUGAUGAAAGGGGGAGCCUGAAGAAAAGAGUCUACAGAAAGAGGGAGCUGAAGCUGAAGACAGAUCCACGGGGAUUCUGUUCAAGCAAGAGGGAGUCUACGUUGAUGAAAACAUGUUAAAGCUUCAAGAAGACUCAGAGAGAGAGAGAGAGAAAGAGAGAGAGAGAGAGAGAGAGAGAGAGAGAGAGAGAAAGACAAGAUGUUACGGAUUGACUGCGGCAAUAUCCAAGGGGGAGUCUGUUGGUGCAGUAAUGUCUAUCGCCUCCAUCAAUUCAGAACGUAGCUGAAACAGUUUAAUUCAAGCUUAUAAUGUAAUAUCUAGUUAGAAAUAGCAUGGUGACAUUUUGGUAAUUAAUGAGAAGUCUCAUUAAUUCCAAGGCCUAUAAAUAGAAGUCUUUGUGUUAGACUUUAGAGACUUUUGAUAUUUUGAAGAGUUAGAGAGCUAAAGGCUAGAAAGAGAGUCUAGAGAGAGAAAGCUCGUUGUACGUGAUUCAAGGUGCUGUACGUUUUCAGAUUUCUAAUAGAAUCACAGUUAUAUUACA